rnacentral:rRNA from 1 species
UACGUAGGGGGCUAGCGUUGUCCGGAAUCAUUGGGCGUAAAGAGCGUGUAGGCGGUCCGGUAAGUCCGUUGUGAAAGUCAAGGGCUCAACCCUUGAAUGCCGGCGGAUACUGUCGGGCUAGAGUCCGGAAGAGGCGAGUGGAAUUCCCGGUGUAGCGGUGAAAUGCGCAGAUAUCGGGAGGAACACCUAUGGCGAAGGCAGCCCCCUGGGCCAACACUGACGCUCAGGCACGAAAGCGUGGGGAGCAAACAGG